rnacentral:rRNA from 1 species
UACGAAGGGUGCAAGCGUUACUCGGAGUUACUGGGCGUAAAGCGUGCGUAGGCGGUUUGUUAAGUCCGUUGUGAAAGCCCUGGGCUCAACCUGGGAAUUGCAGUGGAUACUGGCGAGCUAGAGUGCGGUAGAGGAUGGUGGAAUUCCCGGUGUAGCGGUGAAAUGCGUAGAGAUCGGGAGGAACACCCGUGGCGAAGGCGGCCAUCUGGACCAGCACUGACGCUGAGGCACGAAAGCGUGGGGAGCAAACAGG